rnacentral:rRNA from 1 species
UUAUUUAAUGGCCGCGGUAUUUUGACCGUGCAAAGGUAGCAUAAUCAAUAGUUUAUUAAUUGUGAACUUGUAUGAAUGGUUGGACGAAAUAUUAACUGUCUCUAUUUUAAUAUUAGAAUUUAAAUUUUUAGUUAAAAUGCUUAAAUUUUUUUAUAGGACGAGAAGACCCUAUAGAUCUUUAAUUCUUUAUUUAUUUAUUUAUUUAGUUUAAUUUUUGUAUAUAAUUAUUUUAUUUUUGUUGGGGUGACAUUGAGAUUAUUUAACUCUUUUUUUUUAUGUAAUCAUUUAUUUAUGUGUAUUUGACCUUUUAUUACUGUUAUAAGAUUAAGAUACCUUAGGGAUAACAGCGUUAUUCUUUUUUAGAGUUCAUAUCGACAAAGGAGAUUGCGACCUCGAUGUUGGAUUAAGAUUAUAAUUAGGUGUAGAAGCUUAAUUGUUAAGUCUGUUCGACUUUUAAAUUCUUACAUGAUCUGAGU